UUCUAAUGUUACUUCUUGCGCAACGUGUUUUAAUAAUUUUCUAAAAAGUAUAUCAGCGUAAUUUGUUUAAAAUGGAUCAAGUUAGGGUAUUUGGCUGAGCAGUAGUAUGUCCUCUCAAAUGUUGCAACAUAAGAAGGCUUUUGACGCAGACGUAGAGGUGGGUUUUAUUUGCUUGUUUUGAGGAUGUUACCCCGACGGGAGUUUCUAGAAAUGAGCAUUAAAACAUUCGAAACGUCAAAUACCAGAGUAUUAUCUUUAUAAGGAUCAAUACAAUGUCCACUUCCUGACGAGAAUCUGAUUAUUUUCCGUAAACCUGAUGGCGAAUAUGAACAUUAAAGGGAGUAAACGUAAAGGCAGAGAAAACAAAAUAUCGUUUGAAAACCUUAAGUUAAAGGACGUUAUGUUUGAAGCGUUACAAGACAGGUAUACCGUUAGU
rnacentral:lncRNA from 1 species